rnacentral:rRNA from 1 species
UACGGGGGGAGCAAGCGUUGUUCGGAUUUACUGGGCGUAAAGGGCGCGUAGGCGGUCCGCACAGGUCAGUUGUGAAAUCUCCGGGCUUAACUCGGAAAGGUCAACUGAUACUGUGCGACUAGAGUGCAGAAGGGGCAACUGGAAUUCUCGGUGUAGCGGUGAAAUGCGUAGAUAUCGAGAGGAACACCUGCGGCGAAGGCGGGUUGCUGGGCUGACACUGACGCUGAUGCGCGAAAGCCAGGGGAGCGAACGGG